UACAGAGGUCUCGAGCGUUCUUCGGAAUGACUGGGCGUCAAGGGCACGUAGGCGGUGAAUCGGGUUGAAAGUGAAAGUCGCCAAAAAGUGGCGGAAUGCUCUCGAAACCAAUUCACUUGAGUGGGACAGAGGAGAGUGGAAUUUCGUGUGUAGGGGUGAAAUCCGUAGAUCUACGAAGGAAGGCCAAAAGCGAAGGCAGCUCUCUGGGUCCCUACCGACGCUGGGGUGCGAAAGCAUGGGGAGCGAACAGG
rnacentral:rRNA from 1 species